UUCAAAAGAACAAUCUUUGGCCAACACUCAGAAGUGACAGAAAUAGACUGUUGUCUCACUGCCUGAUUAAAAUGGAAAAGCUGAAGGUUUUCCAAAAGGAAACAAGAGGAGGCUAAGAGUCUAGACCGGCCACUCAGAAGUGUGUGUGCGAGACCGAGCAUCGGCGGGUGUGGGCUUUGUGCGGACAACGUCUGUGUCUGGGUGUGUGCCCAAGGAGGCCAGAAGAGGGCGUCAGAUCCCCUGGAACUGGAGUUACCGAUAACUGUGAGCGGUCAUGUGGGUGCUAAGAUUCGAACAUGCUGUUCCAGAGCAGCACGUGCUCCUAACCACUGAACCAUCUCUCCAGACCCCCAUUUUGAUUUUAAGGUAAGCCUUGGCUACAUAGCCAGUUUGGGGCCAGAAUGGGCUACAUGAUAUCCUAUCUCAAAUAAAUAGUCUGGGGUUACAGUUCA